rnacentral:tRNA from 1 species
GGGCGCGCUGCCAAGUGGGAUUGGAGGCGGGCCGUAAACCCGUCGUCUCCGACUAGGGGGUUCGAUUCCUCACGCGCCCA